rnacentral:rRNA from 1 species
AGUCACUGACAUUAGAUACCCGCGUAGUCCAGGGUGUUAAACGCUGCAGACUUGGUGUUGGAACCCUUCGGGGUGCUCAGUGCCGGAGAGAAGUUGUUAAGUCUGCUACUUGGGAGUACGUCCGCAAGGAUGAACUUAAGGAAUUGGCGGGGAGCACCGCAACGGGAGGAGCGUGCGGUUUAAUUGGAUUCAACGCCGAAAAACUCACCAGCAGCGACUGUUACAUGAAAGUCAGGUUGAUGACCUUACUAGAUUUUCAG